UUCNGGUUGUACCCGCCGGAGACCACUGCUUUCAGAGUUCGAUUAAGCCAUGCAAGGUAUUGUCGCAAGACAAACCGCACUGCUCAGUAACACGUGGUUAACCUGCCCUCAGGUCAGGGAUAACUCCGGGAAACUGGAGAUAAUACCUGAUAGAGGAUAAAUACUGGAAGGUUUUAUUCUUCAAAGCUUCGGCACCUGAGGAUGGGACUGCGUCGGAUUAGCUUGUUGUCGGGAUAAUUACCCGACAAGGCGAUAAUCCGUACGGGUUGUGAGAGCAAUAGCCCGGAGAUGGAUUCUGAGACAUGAAUCCAGGUCCUACGGGACGCAGCAGGCGCGAAACCUUCACAAUGCCUGAAAGGGUGAUGAGGGAACUCUGAGUGACUUCGCAAUGCGAAGUCUUUUGCCAAGUGCAAAAAGCUCGGUGAAUAAGUGGUGGGCAAGACAGUUGCCAGCCGCCGCGGUAAUAACUGCGCCACGAGUGGUGAUCUCGUUUAUUGGGCUUAAAGCGUUCGUAGCCGGUUUUAUAAGCAUCUGGUGAAAUCCGAUAGUAAACUAUUGGGCUGGCUAGGUGUACUGUAAGACUAGGGACCGGUAGGGGCCGGGAGUACUCCUAGGGUAGGGGUUAAAUCCUUUAAUCCUAGGGGGACUACCAGUGGCGAAGGCGCCCGGCUAGAACGGGUCCGACGGUGAGGGACGAAAGCUGGGGGAGCGAUCCGGAUUAGAUACCCGGGUAGUCCCAGCUGUAAACGAUGCCCGCUUGGUGUGGUGAAACUUUCGUGGUUUUGCCGUACCGUAGCGAAAGUGUUAAGCGGGCCGCCUGGGAAGUACGACCGCAAGGUUGAAACUUAAGGGAAUUGGCGGGGGAGCACACAAGAGGUGGAGGCUGCGGUUUAAUUGGAUUCAACGCCAGAAAUCUCACCAGAGAAGACAGCAGAAUGAUGGUCAGCCCGAAGGGCUUACCUGACACGCUGAGAGGUGCUGCAUGGCCGUCGUCAGCUCGUGCCGUGAGGUGUCCUGUUAAGUCAGGAAACGAGCGAGAUCCGUGCCUUUAGUUGCCACUUUUCUCUCCGGAGAGAAGGCACUCUAAAGGGACUGCUUCUGCUAAAGAAGAGGAAGGAGCGGGCUACGGCAGGUCUGUAUGGCCCGAAUUCUCUUGGGCUACACGCGGCCUACAAUGCUUGAGACAAUGAGAUGCAACACCGAGAGGUGAAGCAAAUCCCCUAAACUCAAGCUUAGUUCGGAUCGAGGGCUGAAACUCGCCCUCGUGAAGCUGGAAUCUCUAGUAAGCGAAGGUCAUUAUCUUUCGCUGAAUACGUCCCUGCUCCUUGCACACACCGCCCGUC
rnacentral:rRNA from 1 species